ensembl:lncRNA novel transcript
UCACCGGGCCACCGAGUGUGGACCCCGCCUCACUUGAACGACCAAGUCUACACCGACCUUAUAUCCGCCGCACACGCGGAACUUCCCAUCCCUAUUAUCUAAAUCCGCAUCCCCAUCUCACCGGACCCGACCCCCCAGCUCUGACACAGAAUCCCCCAUUCCCACAGCACAUUUUACAAAGAAGUGCACAGGUGGGCCUAGCAGAAGAUUCCAAAGUCUGACCAAGCAGUUACAGCAAGCAAAGAAUCUUUGUCACCAUCAAUCAUGAAUCUCUCCCAUGAUCAUGGCCACAUCGUCAUACAACGGGACAACCAUGGAUUGGACUCUAAAUGUUCUCAUUGGUUUUACUAAAAUACCUAUUUUAGCCUCAGCUAAAUAAAUAACAAAUAUCAUAAUUUUCA